UACGGGGGGGGCAAGCGUUGUUCGGAAUUACUGGGCGUAAAGGGCUCGUAGGUGGCCAACUAAGUCAGACGUGAAAUCCCUCGGCUUAACCGGGGAACUGCGUCUGAUACUGGAUGGCUGGAGUAUGGGAGAGGGAUGCGGAAUUCCAGGUGUAGCGGUGAAAUGCGUAGAUAUCGGGAGGAACACCUGUGGCGAAAGCGGCUCACUGGACAGUAACUGACGCUGAUGCGCGAAAGCUAGGGGAGCAAACAGG
rnacentral:rRNA from 1 species